CUACGGGAUGCUGCAGUGAGGAAUUUUGCGCAAUGGGGGGAACCCUGACGCAGCAACGCCGCGUGAGUGAAGAAGGCCUUUGGGUCGUAAAGCUCUGUCGACAGGGAAGAAGUUACAAUCAUCCAAUAGGUGGUUGUAUUGACGGUACCUGUAGAGGAAGCACCGGCUAACUCCGUGCCAGCAGCCGCGGUAAUACGGGGGGUGCAAGCGUUAUUCGGAAUUAUUGGGCGUAAAGGGCGCGUAGGCGGUCUUGUCGGUCAGAUGUGAAAGCCCGGGGCUCAACCCUGGAAGUGCAUUUGAAACAGCAAGACUUGAGUACGGGAGAGGAAAGCGGAAUUCCUGGUGUAGAGGUGAAAUUCGUAGAUAUCAGGAGGAACACCGAUGGCGAAGGCAGCUUUCUGGACCGAUACUGACGCUGAGGCGCGAAGGCGUGGGUAGCGAACGGGAUUAGAUACCCUGGUAGUC
rnacentral:rRNA from 1 species